UGCAGUCGAGCGAAUGGAUUAAGAGCUUGCUCUUAUGAAGUUAGCGGCGGACGGGUGAGUAACACGUGGGUAACCUGCCCAUAAGACUGGGAUAACUCCGGGAAACCGGGGCUAAUACCGGAUAACAUUUUGAACCGCAUGGUUCGAAAUUGAAAGGCGGCUUCGGCUGUCACUUAUGGAUGGACCCGCGUCGCAUUAGCUAGUUGGUGAGGUAACGGCUCACCAAGGCGACGAUGCGUAGCCGACCUGAGAGGGUGAUCGGCCACACUGGGACUGAGACACGGCCCAGACUCCUACGGGAGGCAGCAGUAGGGAAUCUUCCGCAAUGGACGAAAGUCUGACGGAGCAACGCCGCGUGAGUGAUGAAGGCUUUCGGGUCGUAAAACUCUGUUGUUAGGGAAGAACAAGUGCUAGUUGAAUAAGCUGGCACCUUGACGGUACCUAACCAGAAAGCCACGGCUAACUACGUGCCACCAGCCGCGGUAAUACGUAGGUGGCAAGCGUUAUCCGGAAUUAUUGGGCGUAAAGCGCGCGCAGGUGGUUUCUUAAGUCUGAUGUGAAAGCCCACGGCUCAACCGUGCAGGGUCAUUGGAAACUGGGAGACUUGAGUGCAGAAGAGGAAAGUGGAAUUCCAUGUGUAGCGGUGAAAUGCGUAGAGAUAUGGAGGAACACCAGUGGCGAAGGCGACUUUCUGGUCUGUAACUGACACUGAGGCGCGAAAGCGUGGGGAGCAAA
rnacentral:rRNA from 1 species